ensembl:lncRNA
UUGACAUUCUGCACGUUAGUCUUUGAGGCUUUCUACCAGUGUGACGCAUGGUGCAGAUCUCCCAGUGACAACCGGCCAGACCUGGACAGCAGCAUCUCCUAAUGUGCGUGCAAGCAAAGGACAGAUCCGUCAGCUGUACACAGCUUCACCCUUUGGUUACACAAAAUCUCAGAUGCACAAGGGACCAUGGUGGGAGGGACCCAGCACGCUCAGCUCCACGACCCCACCCCAGGGAGGGACCCCUCACACUCAGCUCCACAACCCCACGGUGGCCCCCACACUCAGCUCCAUGACCCCGGGGGGGCCCCCAAACUUAGCUACACAAGCCCAGGGAGGAACCCCCCUCCCACACUCAGCUCCACAACCCCAGGAGGCCCCCCUACUCAGCUCCAUGACCCCGAGGUGGCCCCCAAACUUAGCUCCAUGACCCCAGGGAGGGAACCCCCAGGAACCCUCCCCACUCAGCUCCACGACCCUGUGGCGGCCCCCCACGCUCAGCUCCACGACCCCACCCCAGGGAGGGACCCCCCACACACACACUCAGCUCCACAACCCCAAAGUGGCCCCCACACUCAGUUCCAUGACCCCGGGGUGGCCCCCAAACUUUGCUCCACGACCCCAGGUAAGGAUCCCCCCAGGAACCCCCCCCCCACUCAGCUCCACGACCCUGCGGCGGCCCCCCCCACUCAGCUCCAUGUCACCACAACACUAGACACAUUUCAUCCCAUCUCCCUCUCCCCUCCUCUUUAUUUUUCGUUUUCAUUGUUUGGCUGGAACAUUGUAAAGCAAAUUUCAGAUGACGUCUGCACUUUUUAAAGAUUUUUUAAAAAUUUAUUUGAAAGGCAGUUACAGAGAGGCAGAAGCAGAGAGAGACAGAGAGACAGACAGAGAGAGAGAGAGAGAGAGAGAGAGAGAGAGAGGUCUUCCACCCACUGGCUCCCUCCCCAAAUGGCCGCAACGGCCGGAGCUGGGCUGAUCUGAAGCCAGGAGCUUCUGCCAGGUCUCCCAUGUGGCUGCAGGGCCCAAGGAUUUGGGCCAUCUUCUGCUGCCUUCCAGGCCAUAGCAGAGAGCAGGACUGGAAGUGGAGCAGCAGGGACCUGAACUGGCGCCCACGUGGGAUGCCAGCACUGCAGGUGGUGGUUUUACUCGCUACGCCACAGAGCGAGCCACAUAUUUUUUAAUAUCAAUUUAUUUAUUUGAAAGGCAGAAUUACAGAGAGACUCAGGAGAGAUACAGACAGGUCGUCCAUCUGCUGGUUCACUCCCCAGAUGCCCACAACGGCCAGGGCUGGGCCAAGCAGGAGCCAGGAGCCAGGAGCCUCUUUCAGGUCUCCCAAGCGGGUAACAGGAGCCCAAACACUUGCACCAUCCUCCACUGUUUUUCCCAGGCCAUUAGCAGGGAGCUGGACGGGAAGUGGAGCGGCUGGGUGGUAAACGGGUGCCCAUGUGGGAUGCUGGCGUCGCAGGCCCUGGCUUUACCCACUGCACACAACGCCGGCCCCUGCAUAUCAUUUUGAUGGUUGCAAAUGUACUCGGUACAAAAGCCCCUAAUGCAGUCAACCACCUCCCUUCCAGACACCCUGUUAUUUUUGAUAUUUCGGUC